CAGGAGUAUGUGCUGCUGCAGUUAUUCUGCUCGUGGCUGCUGCUGCUGCUGUCAUUUACUACCGUAAGCAAAGGAAAAGCAGCACGGCGAAGCAAAAUAAUAAGACUGAUCUUAUGAAAUACUCAUUCGUUAGUCCGACCGAGGCUGCUGCUAAUGGAGCGUCCCAGGAAAAGACUGACACUGAAACACCACUGUAACAUUAUUUAUUAUUUUAUUUGUAGUGAAAGCCAGUUAAGCAGUAAACCAGCAAUAAACUAAGAAACAAAACAACACGUUACCAGCAGCAGACCAGCAAGUGCUAGAAGUUUUUCAGUAUUAAGUAGAGAUGUGCAUCUCGUAACUGAGGCCGAUGCGAUACGCAUC